rnacentral:tRNA from 20 species
CGGGGCGUGGCGCAGCUUGGUAGCGCAUCUGCUUUGGGAGCAGAGGGUCGCUGGUUCGAAUCCAGUCGCCCCGACCA